CCAACAAUAUCACCUUAGUCCAACCUCGAGGUUUAAACUGUAGCAAUCAUUGAUUGUUAAAUGAUAAAAAAAAAGUUGUAGACAUGAGUAAGAGUGAACAAGAGUAAUUCUAUUUAAGUAGCCAUGUAUAUGUGCAUGGUAUUUCAAAAUGUGAGAAAAAAAUGAUUUCCGGGGCCCUACACCUUCCUAGUUAGUAUGCUUAUUUUUAUUUCUGUAGCACGUUGACUCUACAAUACAGUUGUUUAAAAGCUGACAUAUUUCUCUUGGUGAUUCUGUAUCCUGCUUCAGUUGGUGACUAACCGUUAGAUCAUAAGUAAACUCAGCCAAAAGUUUUCUUAAAUACAGCUUACAGUCAGUAGUGGUGGCUUCCCGAGAGAAACUUACGUGGAAGGAUCAUGUUUCCAGACACUUGGUUCUAAGCACCUGAAGAAAGUCAAACGCUGUCCCGACACCUACUGGUCUUCCAGAAUUAUCUGCAUUAAGGAGAACGCCCCACCGACCUCGCUAUAGCGUGGAUGUGCUUUCUCUUCCUCCAGGUGCCAGACCUGUUGGCAAGGUGCACUCCUCCAAAGAAAAUUCUUUCCCAUCGAGCUAACACCUGGCAGUGGUAGAUGCCGAGGGGGCGGGAUGGUGGGGAGUUGAGAACCGCACUUAAAAAUUGAGUCCAGAGGAAGUUCUUCAGCGCGGAUUCACAAGAAGUGCCAUUCGAUGCUCGGUUUGCUUUCUUUAUCUCCUACACUGGUUACCUCAUUUCCGAUUAAAUUAAUGAUCCCGAAUUAGCUGCGAGAGGAGUGCGCGGGUCGUCUACCAAGGCUAGAGCUGGGUAGUUCAAUACCCCAAGCAGAUUUCCGGACCUGCAGAGAGAAAAAGGAGAGCAAGGAGGUCACCGGUUUUCGCAGGCAGUAAAGUGGCGGAGCCGUACAGGACCUGUUUCACUGCAGGGGGAUCCAAAACAAGCCCCGUGGAGCAGCAGCCAGAGCUACAGCAGCCGCAAGACACUGUUUCUCUCCCUCUGCCCCCCCUUCCCCACGCAACCCCAGAUCCAUUUACACUUUACAGAGCGUCGUGCAGCAAGUCACCAGGGUAGUCCCUUCAAGCUGCAGAUUUGUUGGUCAUCCUUGUACAACAGUCUUCUCCACGGCCACUACAGGGAAGUCCAUCAUGUAUCAGGUCACAGAGAGUGCUGGUGGACAUCUCCUCUUGCCCCAAGAUCUUCGUUGGAAGUCCACGGGACUUGGUGUCUUUGCCGUUCAAAGUGUAUAUGAACUCGCCAGGAGGCAUAAUACGUCACCAUUUUAUUCUGGGCCACCCUAAAGGAUGACACCCAGCUUCAGAGACCUCCUCUUGGACAUCCUCCCUGAGAACCAGUGUUUUAGCUCUCCCGUUGUCUGAAAUCUGUUUCUGACUGAUUUUGAGCUGGCUCAGGCUUAGUCAUUAAAUGGCCAGAACAGUGUUGAACGUUCUGCUUGAUGAGCUUGCAGCUACACACCUUUUGUCACUUUCAGAGCAGCAACUCCCUCUUGAGCUCUUGUCAGUCUUUACAUAGAUAUGGUAGAAAACAGGCACCAAUCCAUUCUUUCCAUCUUGGCGUUUGCCCACAGGCGUAGUCCUGGGAUGACCUGGAGUAGAGGCAGCAGAGGAUAAAUUCAUCUUGCACAGACUUGUUCGUGCUGGUUCCGGCCUGUCUCUCCCCACAGAUCUAGCUUUUAAAUACUCAAGUGAUUGGUUUUAUGUAGGAAUGUGUGGAUUGUUGGAUUGGAAUAAUUUUCUCCCUGGAUUUCUAGUGUUUACAUAAGCAGAUAUAAAAAAAUGUUCUAUUGAUUUAAAUAGCAGGCCUUAUUUUAAAAAGUUACAGGUGCUUAAUGAUGGUACAGAAUAAAAUUGUAAGUUUUUUUUUUUUAUUACAACGUGUAACACAACCAAAAGGUGUGUAUUAAUUUGUGUCAGGAAAGGGUCAAAACUGAAAAUUUGCAACAAAGACAAACUGGAAUAGAACAAGAGCAAACAGAAGCUGACAAAUAUAUGCCCCUUGUUGGGAGUUCAGCCCAUGGAAUGUUAUGUAGGACAAAAGGAAUGGAAGAGAUAUUUCAGUAACAUUUUGUUCUCUGUCAAAAACCUUCUGAAAUAUAAAUCUGCUGUGUAUUGGAGAAUGGAUACAGCAAUUGAUUCAAGUUGAAUAGCUUUCAUUUAACUAGAAUACCCCACAGAAAGCAUUCUUGUUCUGACAACCAUAUUUUUGCUUUCCUUGACUUAAAGAAAAUUGAAUUCAUGUUUACAUAUCUUAUAGGAUUGUUUUAUGGACAAAGACACAGGUCAAAUCCCAUCCCAGCAUGGUGGCUAUUGUUACUGCAAAUAGAAACAUUUCUAAAUGAAAUAAAAACAUUUCUAAGCCAUGGCCUGUGGCCUAUAGUAAUAAUACUGGGUUGGUAUUAUGAAACCAUUUGCAACUAUAAAUAAUUCAGUCAUAGAUGUGCUUUUUGUUUAAUUGUUUUUUUUUCAAAUUCCAGUCUCUUGCCAACACACGUACUCAUACAUAUAUUUCACCUAUUUGCGUAGUAGAGAAGGAGGACUAUGAAUAUAUAUAAUAGGAGUCAACUUUAUUUUGGACUU